rnacentral:rRNA from 1 species
UGAAUACGAGACGCUAAGGCGUCGAAGUAGUGUAUGUCAUACUUCCAAGAAAAGCUUGCACUGUCAUAGAUAAAAAACGCCUGUACCAUAACCGACACAGGUGGGUAGGUAGAGUAUACUAAGGGGCGCGAGAUAACUCUCUCUAAGGAACUCGGCAAAAUAACUCCGUAACUUCGGGAGAAGGAGUGCCUUAUUCGUAAGGUUGCAAUAACAAGAUCCAAGCAACUGUUUAUCAAAAACACAGGUCUCCGCUAAGUCGUAAGACGAUGUAUGGGGGCUGACGCCUGCCCAGUGCCAGAAGGUUAAAGAAGUUGGUUAGCAAUUGCGAAGCUGAUAACUGAAGCCCUGGUGAACGGCGGCCGUAACAAUAACGGUCCUAAGGUAGCGAAAUUCCUUGUCGGGUAAGUUCCGACCCGCACGAAAGGCGUAAUGAUUUGGAUACUGUCUCGGAGAGGGGCUCGGUGAAAUAGACUUGUCUGUGAAGAUGCGGACUACCUGCACCAGGACAGAAAGACCCUAUGAAGCUUUACUGUAACUUGAAAUUGAAAUUGGACUUUAUUCGCGCAGUAUAGGUGGGAGGCGUUGAUUAUAAUCUUGUGGGAUUAUUGGAGCCAUCAGUGAGAUACCACUCUUGUAAUGUUAGAUUUCUAACUUUGAAUCAUUAUCUGGUCAAAGAACAGUUUCAGGCGGGCAGUUUGACUGGGGCGGUCGCCUCCUAAACGGUAACGGAGGCGUACAAAGGUUUCCUCUGAACGGUUAGAAAUCGUAUCUAGAGUGUAAAGGCAUAAGGAAGCUUGACUGUGAGACCUACAAGUCGAGCAGGGACGAAAGUCGGUCUUAGUGAUCUGACGGUACUGAGUGGAAAGGCCGUCACUCAACGGAUAAAAGUUACUCUAAGGAUAACAGGCUGAUCUCCCCCAAGAGUUCACAUCGACGGGGAGGUUUGGCACCUCGAUGUCGGCUCAUCGCAUCCUGGGGCGGUAGUACGUCCCAAGGGUUGGGCUGUUCGCCCAUGAAAGCGGUACGCGAGCUGGGUUCAGAACGUCGUGAGACAGUUCGGUCCAUAUCCGGUGUAGGCGUUAGAAUAUUGAGAGGAGCCUUCUUUAGUACGAGAGGACCGAGAAGGACAUACCUCUGGUGUACCAGUUAUCGUGCCAACGGUAAACGCUGGGUAGCUAUGUAUGGAGUGGAUAACCGCUGAAAGCAUCUAAGUGGGAAGCCCACCUCAAGAUAAGUA